rnacentral:tRNA from 1 species
GGAAGUAGCUCAGUGGUAGAGCACAUGCUUAGAGUGCCUGAGGUCCUGAGUUCAAUUCCUAGUACCUCCA